rnacentral:rRNA from 1 species
CCUACGGGUGGCAGCAGUGAGGAAUAUUGGUCAAUGGACGAGAGUCUGAACCAGCCAAGUAGCGUGAAGGAUGACUGCCCUAUGGGUUGUAAACUUCUUUUAUCUGGGAAUAAAAUGUUCCACGUGUGGGUUUUUGUAGGUACCAUAUGAAUAAGGAUCGGCUAACUCCGUGUCAGCAGCCGCGGUAAUACGGAGGAUCCGAGCGUUAUCCGGAUUUAUUGGGUUUAAAGGGAGCGUAGGUGGAUUGUUAAGUCAGUUGUGAAAGUUUGGGGCUCAACCGUAAGAUUGCAGUUGAAACUGGCAGUCUUGAGUACAGUAGAGGUGGGCGGAAUUCGUGGUGUAGCGGUGAAAUGCUUAGAUAUCACGAAGAACUCCGAUUGCGAAGGCAGCUCACUGGACUGCAACUGACACUGAGGCUCGAAAGUGUGGGUAUCAAACAGGAUUAGAUACCCCUGUAGUC